rnacentral:misc_RNA from 1 species
GAAAUGCGAUAAGUAAUGUGAAUUGCAGAAUUCAGUGAAUCAUCGAAUCUUUGAACGCACAUUGCGCCCGCCAGUAUUCUGGCGGGCAUGCCUGUCCGAGCGUCAUUUCAACCCUCGAACCCCUCCGGGGGGUCGGCGUUGGGGAUCGGCCCUUUACGGGGCCGGCCCCGAAAUACAGUGGCGGUCUCGCCGCAGCCUCUCCUGCGCAGUAGUUUGCACACUCGCAUCGGGAGCGCGGCGCGUCCAUUGCCGUAAAACACCCAACUUUCUGAAAUGUUGACCUCGGAUCAGGUAGGAAUACCCGCUGAACUUAA